GACGAACGCUGGCGGCGUGCUUAACACAUGCAAGUCGAACGGAAAGGCCCUUCGGGGUACUCGAGUGGCGAACGGGUGAGUAACACGUGGGUGAUCUGCCCUGCACUUUGGGAUAAGCCUGGGAAACUGGGUCUAAUACCGAAUAGGACCACGCGCUUCAUGGUGUGUGGUGGAAAGCUUUUGCGGUGUGGGAUGGGCCCGCGGCCUAUCAGCUUGUUGGUGGGGUAAUGGCCUACCAAGGCGACGACGGGUAGCCGGCCUGAGAGGGUGACCGGCCACACUGGGACUGAGAUACGGCCCAGACUCCUACGGGAGGCAGCAGUGGGGAAUAUUGCACAAUGGGCGCAAGCCUAAUGCAGCGACGCCGCGUGAGGGAUGACGGCCUUCGGGUUGUAAACCUCUUUCAAUAGGGACGAAGCGCAAGUGACGGUACCUAUAGAAGAAGCACCGGCCAACUACGUG
rnacentral:rRNA from 1 species